rnacentral:lncRNA from 1 species
AACCUCUUAUUAAUAGGGAAAUAAUUACUGAACAGUCUUUCAGUACAAGAAUCAUCUUAUCCAAAUUGUAGUAAGGAGAUAAUGCUAUCUUUUCCUGCGCCCUUUGCUUCAUAAAAUCUAAAAUCAUAAAUCAUCUACUGUUUUUUUUUUUUCAAAAUAAAAUAAAUAGAAAGAUUCUAUUUGAUAAGAGAGAACUUGCAGCAAUAAAAUAAAGACAUACUUAAAUGAGAUAUGAAGUGAUAAGUAGAACUAGCAAUCUAAAAGGUAAAAAAGGAGAGAACCCAACACAUCAGAAUCGUUUCUGAUUUGGGUGGACAAUAUGAAGGUUCGCACCUCCAAGGAAAACAAAGAGCGCAUGAAUAUUUCUUAAGUUAAGUAUAAUAAAAAUCCUAAAAUUGGGGUGCCAAGAGAACACACACAAAACAUACUUAUAGAUCACAAAAAAGUAAAAUAUGAAACUGCACACGGUCAUUCAAAGUACAUAUCUAUGUACACACCCACACGCACAAAUAUCAUCAGCAUUAGAGCAAACACGAUUCGAUUUUCCUUUGGUCCAUUUAUAUAAUUUGGUUGCACCCUCCUCGACACCCUUCACUGAAAUAUUUUGCUUAUUAGUUUAUAAGAGUAAUAUAUGAAAAAAUGAAAUUUUUCCUGGAGAACUAGAUCAAAUCUAUGACUAUCCUGUAUUUAAAAAGUUUAUAACACCUCAUACAAGAUAAUCUCAUGCAUGAAUCCAAAUUCAUCAUUGAUUUAAUGAAAUGCGUAACAUGGUCUUAGCAUUACAAUCAACUGAAUCCAACUCAGUUCCACUGGUACAGCUUGCAUGACCAAGUUUAUUUAUUAUUUUGAUAAGGUCAUCUUUACAAUAUUUCCAACAGUGUUUGUGCAUUAAAAAGUAAAAAUGACAAAGUAAAACAACAAAGAACGUAAUAAGCAUAUGCAAAGAGAGAACAAAAGGCAAGAUCGCCCAUUCUCAAUGCUAAUCAACAAUUAAGCCAAAAGCUACCAACUAGUAACACUAAACUUGUUUUAAUUGGUUAGCUUGGAAGAAUUGAAGUUAUAACAAGAAACACCUUAUUCUUUCACUUCAUUUUAAAAAUCUGAUUGAACUAAUCAGCCAUAGAGGAGGCUUAAUUUUCCAUGCAUGUAGUCUUACACCAACAAAUUCAACCACACAAAUCAAUCCUUAUAUAUAAAGACGUCCAAGAUGACGUCAAAUGACAUCAACAGUUCAAAUCAAUUUGAGAAAUCGUUUCCUUCAAUUUGAAAAAUAUGGUGAGUUAACUCGGUUAAUUAGAAAUUGAUCCGUCCCCCUCCCCCUCCCCCUCUUCCUCUUUUAAUUUCUGUCAUUUACACGCUUUGUUCCCAAAUCUUCUCCACUUUUUUUCAAUUUCUGCUUACAGUUGAAGAUUAGAUUGAUCAAACAGUCAAACAACCCACAAUUUGUCCCCAUAAUUCGUCCCAAUUUAGUUGCUCUAUCUACCUCUAUCCCCAGUCCAAAAUAUGAUAUGUAUCUAUUGAAGAACUGAAAGGAACGAUCGUGCCUCCUCUUUACUACGGUUUCAGUGCCUCCACCAUUGUGCCUCCACCGCCCUAGGUUUCAGUCUCCCUCUCCUUGUCUUCUAAUUUCAGGUUAUGACUGUACAAUUUGGUCUUAAUUUUGAUGUUAAUGAUUUCGAUUAGGUUUUCAAUUCAAAAACAUAAACAGGUAGAACCCUCCCAAAAUCUUCCUCUAGGGGAAGUUUUGCUAACCUCCGCAUCUCUUCUGCUGAUUCAGACAAUAUUUGGUGUAAUCACUUGAGUCCAAAUAUUCGCUAACAAUCAAAGUGUAGUUAUCAAACAAGUACCUAGAAGUGUAGGAAGUGAUUGACCGGGAAAUGGCAAAAGAACAAAUUGCACACUCAGCUAAAUUAACUUCAUAAUUCAUAAACCUCAAUGACUGAUCAGCCAACAACAGCCCACCAUCAUUUACCUCAUCCAUAAAAGUCCUCUCUAUCAAUUUCAAAUCUAACCCAUGUGUAUCCUUAUUAUCAGACCCAUGUAAAUGUAUAAUCNNNNNNNNNNNNNNNNNNNNNNNNNNNNNNNNNNNNNNNNNNNNNNNNNNNNNNNNNNNNNNNNNNNNNNNNNNNNNNNNNNNNNNNNNNNNNNNNNNNNUAGGGUUUCACUAUUUAAUCAAAAGACGUGUCCACGUAUAAUGCUUGAGCUCAAUAAUAAAACUUGAAAAAUUAACACACAAAAGCCCUAUCUUUUUUGGUAUAUAAAGAAAAAAGACUACAAGAACAACUAAAAGUGAACAAAUUUGGAGAAGAGUAUGAGCAAAACCCUAGAGAAAAAUGAAAACGGGUAUAAAUAUUAAUCUCAGAUUGUAAUAUGUAUACAUAUAACUUCGUUUCGCAGUAAAUUAGGGUUAGGGUUCCGAACACGAAGAUAGGAUAACCGAACGACAGAAUCUUAAUUUAAGAUCAACAUUAAUGAGUAAAAUAGCUUGAAAUGCAUUAAUGAAGGGGGGAAAUGGAGAAAGAGAACUUACAGUCCCGCCCCGGCCUCCGAGGGAGAUAUUGUUGAAUAAGUGACCAUCUGCCAUAGCUUCUCUCUCCCGAGUAAAAUACGAACACCGAUGUAGAAGUAGAAGACACAACUCUCGUUUUAUAGUGUGAACGUCAGUCAAUAUAACAAUUUUGCGGUUUCUUCUUUUGGGCCUAAUUUGAAUUUAUCCAUUCAUUUCCUCCCCUGCAAUACCCACAACAAGUAUCUAUCUCAACAAAUAAGUUUUUUAAUGGAGUACAAAAAAAUUGAUAUUGAAUUUAAGGAAAAAAUAAAAAAGGAAUUUGGAAUAUGAAUUUAAAUAAUAUUUGUUCAUUUUAAAAAAAA